rnacentral:rRNA from 1 species
GAUGAACGCUGGCGGCGUGCCUAAUACAUGCGAGUCGAGCGAACAGACGAGGAGCUUGCUCCUCUGACGUUAGCGGCGGACGGGUGAGUAACACGUGGAUAACCUACCUAUAAGACUGGGAUAACUUCGGGAAACCGGAGCUAAUACCGGAUAAUAUAUUGAACCGCAUGGUUCAAUAGUGAAAGACGGUUUUGCUGUCACUUAUAGAUGGAUCCGCGCCGCAUUAGCUAGUUGGUAAGGUAACGGCUUACCAAGGCAACGAUGCGUAGCCGACCUGAGAGGGUGAUCGGCCACACUGGAACUGAGACACGGUCCAGACUCCUACGGGAGGCAGCAGUAGGGAAUCGUCCGCAAUGGGCGAAAGCCUGACGGAGCAACGCCGCGUGAGUGAUGAAGGUCUUCGGAUCGUAAAACUCUGUUAUUAGGGAAGAACAAAUGUGUAAGUAACUAUGCACGUCUUGACGGUACCUAAUCAGAAAGCCACGGCUAACUACGUG